GUGAGGAAUAUUGGACAAUGGGCGCAAGCCUGAUCCAGCCAUGCCGCGUGCAGGAAGACGCAUCUAUGGUGUGUAAACUGCUUUUGUACGGGAAGAAACACUCCCUCGUGAGGGAGCUUGACGGUACCGUAAGAAUAAGGAUCGGCUAACUCCGUGCCAGCAGCCGCGGUAAUACGGAGGAUCCAAGCGUUAUCCGGAAUCAUUGGGUUUAAAGGGUCCGUAGGUGGUUUAAUAAGUCAGUGGUGAAAGCCCAUCGCUCAACGAUGGAACGGCCAUUGAUACUGUUAGACUUGAAUUACAAGGAAGUAACUAGAAUAUGUAGUGUAGCGGUGAAAUGCUUAGAUAUUACAUGGAAUACCAAUUGCGAAGGCAGGUUACUAACAAAUGAUUGACGCUGAUGGACGAAAGCGUGGGGAGCGAACAGGAUUAGAAACCCGGGUAGUCC
rnacentral:rRNA from 1 species